UGGUCUUUGAUGUGACUACUACUCCUCGCUAAAGCCUCAGAUGAUGCUUAGCAUUUUUUUAGCAAUAAAGUAUUUUUUAAUUGAGGUAUGUACUUUUUUAGACCUAAUGCUAUUGCACACUUAAUAGACUACAAUAUAGUGUAAGCAUAACUUUUAUAUGCACUGGGAAACCAAAAAAUUUGUGUGACUCAUUUUAUUGUGAUAUUCAUUUUAUUGCAGUGGUCUGGAACCCAGCCUGCACUAUCACCAAGGUCUGCCUGUACUGACAUGGAGUGCAUAUACACAUGCAUCUUUGGUGUGGCUAAUUCACUACCAGGUUUGGGGGUAGGAAAGAAAAUUGCAUCUUUUCAGGGAGGUUCAGAAAUCUAGCUGAAUUCCUAAACCUGCUGGGUUCCCCAUCUCCUCCUUCUGUCCUUGGCUCUCAAGGGAAAUGACUGAGUUUUUGAACGGAACUGAGGCCGGAGGAUUAUUCCAACUCAGAAUAGUGGAUCCUUGAACAUGGGCCCUUGAGAGAGUCCAGUGGAGUCCAAGUAAUGUCUACUAUGAAAAGAGAAAUGAAUAACUCCACCACUGAAAACAAGUGUCCAGAAAACAGCAAGUUUAUCCUGUGCUAGAGCCAAGGAGCAACCAGGUGCCAAUUACAUCCCUGGGGGAAGGAAAGGGCAAUGCAAGCACAGACUGUGCCCUGUUGUAGGAGAGAGACCAGAGGCAGGAAGGGAGGAAAAUCUGAAUCUAUAAGCUUUCUUUUUAUAUAAACCAGACUCAUAAGUUUUCUUUAUUUCAGCUGGAACUCACAUCACAGCUGCCCUAUUUACUUACCUACUGGCUGCAUUCCUUAGAACCAGUUUUUUUCCCGUUCAAAUGGAAACCAGGCAGAAUUGGGAAAAUAUUUCUUCAGCCAGCUCCUCAGCACUGCUGUCUGAGGGAGACCAUCUGACCCAGAUGCCCUUUAAACCAGGAAGUCUUCAUAAACUGGCCUCUGGGAACUGCAGAUAGAGCAUCCCUUUCCUCUUCCAGUUGGGUUGGCAGAAUCUUCAAGAACCACCUCCCUUCCCCAGGGUGGUGUCUAAUGUGCCUGGAUCUGAUUCUCAACAUGGCCUGUUUGCAGAAGAAACCUCCUCUGAGACCUCAGCCACCCUACCUGGUCUUGGUGGAUGGGACCCUCAGGUAGUGGAAUGCAUCAUGGCCAAGUGGAGGUGUCCAGAGUCCCCUUGUGCCGUCUGGAUUGGAAUAAGACACUGCUCAGAAACACUUCCAAAGAAUUGGGGAGUGUCCCUGAGCACCUCCCACUCCCAAAGGACAGUGCAUGUGUUCCCUGGUUCCCCAAGCCUAGCAGGGCAGCCCGCAUCCAGAGAACUGUAGGAUCCUAUCUGCUUCAAGGACUCUUUCCAAAAUGAUCUCCCAAGCAGCUCGUGCCUGAACUUGGAGUAGUGACAACUAUAUCUCUCACACUCCACUCAUCUUGUUCUCUUCUUGUCCCUUCCUCUCAAGUAUAGCAUCCUAUACUAGCAUUUCCUAGUAUGUAAAUAGCUUAUAAUCAGGGCUUGGUUUACCUAAUAUGUUCUUAGAGUAAUAAAGGUAAGUGUCAUGUGUAUAAGAGUCACACCCAAGCCCCCCCUGCUUUUCUCUCCCCCCACACCGCCCCAGGGUCAUCCCAGCCACUCCCAUGACUUCAGCUACCACCUAUCUGCAGAUGACCCAGUCUCUGUGUCCAGCCUACACGUCUCACUAAACCCCACACCUAACCACCCAUCUGCCGAAGCACCCACCUUCCACUUGGAGGUCAAAUUUGAAACAACUCAAAUUCAAGUUCUCCAAAAGUGAACUCCUUAAUUUCUUCCAUAAACCUGAGGCUCCUUUGUGUCCCAUAUUCUGAUGCAUCACAUUUGACAGUGGUUUUCGGUCCAUGUAUGUCAGUGGAUGGAUGGGUGGGGGGGAAAGGGCGUGUCUAUGAACCUCUUGAAAUUUUAUGCAAGAUUUUGUGUGUACAUGUGUUUUCUUCCUGCAGAAAGAGAUGGCAGGUUUUUCAGAACCUGACUGUGACCCCUGAACUAAAGAGUCAAGCCCCCGUCUGUUUCUCUGGCUUCAUCUCUUGGCAGUCCUGCUUUGAGCCCCAAGCCCCACAUCCCCUGAACCUAUGCUCGUGGGCAGUGACUGACUCCUGGAGUUCCUGGAAAAUGCCGUCAGUUUGAUGUAUGCUGGUUCUUCUACUGAAGGGUGUUCCCACCCUCUUUGUCUGCAACCUUCAGGCAGCACCUCCUCUGGGAAGCCUCCCUUGCCUGACCCAGGCAGAGCUGAUCAGCCCUUCCCUAGUGCCCCACCUCCACGUGGCAUCCGUCAUACUGUAGGACAGCCUCUUGCACCCUGCGUGUGCCUCGGAAUCCCCUGCGCAUCUUUUAAUGAAAUACAGAUGCUCCAGCCCUGCUUCCUCCCCAGUGAAUCAAAACUGUGAUGGAGAGAGGCCCCCCAGGGGACUCUGAGGCACAUGCUGCAUGCUAAACCACAGCUGUAGGGCCUUUUUCUCGGAUACACCAGACUAUGAACUCCUUGAGAGCAGGGAUCUUGUCUCAGCCACUUCCCCAAUCCCCGUGGCACUUAAAACAGUGACAGUGCACAGUAAAAUGAGCCAGUCUCAACACUGGUCUACUGGGUGCCAGGUAACAUUCUAGAGAUUUCCAUAUACUGCCAUUCAGCACCUACAAUUUUCCCAUGAGUUACAUCAUUGAUCCCCUUUAGAGAUGAAGAAAUAUUUGUGAAUGAGUGAACAAGUGAAUCAUACUUUCUAGAAAGCUGAUUGGUUUAGAGAAAUCUGAAUAUGAUUUAUUUCAUAAACAUGACUUUUUA